UGAUAGCCAGUAAGGAGAAUUGCCAAAUCCUGAUCUUCAUCUGCAAUGCAGUGCACAUCACAAAGAAUUAAUACCAACUUAAGUUGAGAGGCUGGAAGACCAAUAAAGAACUGAAAAUAAGCACUUCAACAUGGCUGGAUUCACUCCAACAAAGAGCAAUGUAUCUGCCAAGUGUUGCCAUCUCAUGUAGAAGGAAGAGGAAAGAAGCCAAGCAGGAAAAAAA
rnacentral:lncRNA from 1 species